CGUGGAGUGAUUUGUCUGGUUUAUUCCGAUAACGGGCGAGACUCUAACCUACUAAAUAGUUGAUAUUUUUCUAUAAGAGUAUACAACUUCUUAGAGGGAUCUGCGGUGUUUAGCCGAAAGAAAUUGAGCAAUAACAGGUCUGUGAUGCCCUUAGAUGUCCGGGGCUGCACGCGCGCUACACUGGCAAAAUCAACGUGCUUGUCCUUCCCCGAAAGGGGCGGGUAAACCAUUGAACCUCCUUCGUGCUAGGGAUUGGGGCUUGCAAUUUUUCCCCAUGAACGAGGAAUUCCCAGUAAGCGCGAGUCAUAAGCUCGCGUUGAAUACGUCCCUGCCCUUUGUAC
rnacentral:rRNA from 1 species